UAAAGUGGCGUACUGGUGAGUAACACGUGGAUGAUCUGCCCUAGAGUGGGGAAUAACCAGGGGAAACCUUGGCUAAUACCGCAUAAUCCCGAGAGGGGAAAGCCGAAAGGCGCUCAAGGAGGAGUCCGCGGUCGAUUAGCUAGUUGGUAGGGUAAAGGCCUACCAAGGCAACGAUCGAUAGCCGGCCUGAGAGGGCACACGGCCACACUGGCACUGAAACACGGGCCAG
rnacentral:rRNA from 1 species